UACGUAGGGUGCAAGCGUUUGUCCGGAAUUAUUGGGCGUAAAGAGCUUGUAGGCGGUUUGUCGCGUCUGCUGUGAAAAUCCGGGGCUCAACCCCGGACUUGCAGUGGGUACGGGCAGACUAGAGUGUGGUAGGGGGAGACUGGAAUUCCUGGUGUAGCGGUGAAAUGCGCAGAUAUCAGGAGGAACACCGAUGGCGAAGGCAGGUCUCUGGGCCACUACCGACGCUGAGAAGCGAAAGCAUGGGGAGCGAACAGG
rnacentral:rRNA from 1 species